CUCGUUUCCAAACAAGAAAAGAAAGAAACUGAGAUUCUGGGUUCAUCCAGUUGUCAAAGAAGACAGCAGCAGAGAGAAUUUCAUGGUUUGAUCCAGGAGUUGAAGCUGUAUCACUGACAUCCGGCAUCAGUUUGAGCUCUUGCUGGCAGAGUGGGCAACACAUCUGAGGAGGCAGAGAAAUCAUUGCAUAGAGCCAAAUGACCCAGAGCAGUGUCUAAGACUGUUUGCAAUCAUCUCGGAGAGAGGAGUACCAGCAUCUCAACAGAGACUAAAACCAGCAACCCCAUCUGUUGCUCUGAACUUCUCUAGAUAGCAUGCACAAAGAGCAGCACAGACCAUUAAAGUCUGCAGGCCAAAAGACC
ensembl:lncRNA